CGCUCAACUGAUCGUAAAUGAAAUCGAAUUAGUAUGUGAUUAUGAAAGUUGUGGUCGUACUUGUUUCUUAGAAUAACUUUAUUUUAUUUAAAAAAACGUGAAUAAGAGGUAGCUAAAUUACUUCGUGUGUUACUUUUUUACUGCUAAUUUUUAACCGCAUGAACGAUUCGCCGAUAACUAUUGUGAUCCUCUUUCAAUUGCUUCUCUAAUAUGGCAGUGUUUCAUUUUCGUCCUGUUUUCUAAGUUUUUGUUAGCGUUUUGGCUAUUAUGAUGUAUUAGUUUCAAAUUAUGGUUUGACGAAAAGCAUUUCGAUGCAACGUGCAUGCGAUUAUCCUAAUAAAAAUUCUUCCAAUUUGAGAGUGAAAAGCGGAUCUAUAAUGUGUCCUGAGGUGAACAGGCACGCACCUCCGUCUUCGGAUACAAUCCAAACUAAGCCUUUUCCAAUCAGAGGUGAACGAGCUAAUUAUGUCAACAUCCCUCAUGUAAUUGCUAUGGUUGGAUUACCCGCUCGUGGUAAAACAUAUAUUUCAAAAAAAUUAGCCAGAUACUUGAAUUGGAUCGGUAUCAAUACGAGAGUAUUCAAUUUGGGCGAAUACCGAAGACAUGCGACUUCCGCGUAUAAAAGUCACGAAUUUUUUCGGCCCGAUAACGAAGAAGCGAUGGCGAUCAGAAUUCAAUGCGCGCUCGAAGCUCUGACAGAUGUUUGUAGUUGGCUUGAAAAUGGUAACGGAGAAGUGGCUGUUUUCGAUGCCACAAAUUCGACAGCUGAUCGACGUGAGAUGAUUAGGAAAAUCGUCGUCGAUAAAAUGGGAUUCAAAUUGUUUUUUGUCGAGUCCGUUUGUGAUGACCCGAAUAUAAUCGAGCAAAACAUUAUGGAAGUUAAAGUGAGCGGUCCAGAUUACAGUAACAUGAAUAAAGAAGAAGCUCUGGAAGACUUUUUAUUACGAAUUAAGCAUUACCAAGAUAAAUACGAACCGUUGGACGAAUUUCGAGAAAGGAAUUCUAGUUUUAUGAAAAUUUACAACACGGGUGAAAAAGUGCUCGUGCAUAAACAUGAAGGGCACAUUCAAGCUCGUAUCGUUUACUACCUAAUGAACAUACAUAUCACGCCUAGAACUAUUUAUUUGGCCAGGCACGGAGAAAGUAUUAUGAAUUUAAAAGGACGUAUAGGAGGUGAUUCAGAAUUAUCGUAUCGCGGAUUACAAUUCGCCAAAGCACUGUCUAAUUAUAUCAGUACGCAAAAUAUACCCAGUCUUCGUGUAUGGACGUCGUGGUUAAAAAGGACUGUUCAAACUGUCGCAGAUAUUCCAGCACCGCAAGAAAGAUGGAAAGCUUUGAACGAAAUCGAUGCUGGUAUUUGCGAAGAAAUGACGUACGAAGAAAUCGCCGAAAGAUUUCCAGAUGAUUUUAAAGCUCGCGACGAAGCCAAAUUUACCUAUAGGUAUCCUCGUGGCGAAUCUUACGAAGAUCUAGUUGCUAGAUUAGAACCUGUGAUAAUGGAAUUAGAAAGACAGGAGAAUGUCUUGGUGGUCAGUCAUCAAGCCGUGUUAAGAUGUUUGCUGGCCUAUUUCCUCGAUAAAUCAGCAGAUCAAUUACCAUAUUUAGAAGUCCCUUUGCACACGUUAAUUAAACUGACUCCGGUGGCUUAUGGAUGUAAAAUGGAGCUUAUACGAUUUCCUAUUGACGCUGUUGACACUCAUAGACCUCAACCAAAGGAUUUGGAAAAUACUGUAGGGGAAGUUACAGAACAGAGGUUUGAAUAAGGUACCUGGUUUUUUGGACGAAAGGUUUCGUUUUUCAAUGAGAAGAAAUGCUAAUCAUCUCAUAUCUUCUGGUAUAUCUAGUAGCGACUCCAUUGCGUCGAACCCUGUUCCAUCAUAAAAUGUCAGAAAAGAUGUCAGCGUCUGAAUCGCUUGCCAAGUUGUGAAGGAAAUGAUGUCAGUGAUUUCUCCAAGAUUAUUUGCGGUAGCUUUCUAUGAACGUACUUAUUGAAUAUUGAAUUUGUUAUUUGUGUAUGAUUUUCUUUGUUUUGUUAUAUUGAACGUAUAAUGAAAUUAUUUAUGUUUUAUUUUUAUCCAUCCUUGAUUUUUAUUUCUGUGAUAAGUUGAAUUUUUCCAAAAGAAAAAAAAACAAGAAGAAUACCAACGAAUUUUGGGACUCUUUAUUUUAAAUGGCUCAAUUAUGUUUUGUUUUGUUCUUUCUUUUUCUAAACUGUCCUUCCAUUUGUUCUGAUAUUCGCAAUUUUAAUUUAACUUGUGCAUUUUCUAAGACUCCGAUUUUUUUGAAGUAGUUUGGUAUCUGUAGAUUUUUUUUCGUGCGAGUAAAUCGUGUUUUAUAUUUCGACUCUAGUUGCUUUGAAUUUUUUAAUAAAAUGUUUUAAAAUUGGUCGCGAUUAAUGAUGACUGUAGUUCUGUGUAUUAUUAAUCAAAAGUUCGUAGUAACGAAACAUUUUAAUACGAAUAUGAGUAGUUUUAUCGAUAAUUAAUUUGUUUUUUUUUUUAUUCGACUGAUCAAAAUAAUGUUGACGUGUACCUCUACCUACCUAAGCGUUCGAAUAUUUUAAUUUAAAAUGAUAUACGAACGCCAAUUUGAUUUAUUUUAUAUUAUUUUGUGCUGAACAGGUUGUGUUGAAUUUAUAUUAUAUUUAGCUUGUUUACUUAUAAUUGAUACGCGAUCGUAUAAAAAGAAAUUGAAAUGACCAAUCUAAUCGUUAAAAUUUUUGUUAUUAUUCUAUCGUUAAUUAUUUAUUACGUUUAAUUGCGUACAUGGAUUAUUGAUUAUGUUAUGGUUAAUAUAUAUUACCUUAAUUGUUACUUUUAAGUAACUUAAAACUACCUGUACCAACUACCUAUCUACCUUAAAUGAUUCUUUGAGCUUCUAUCCUACUACCUAGUACUUACCUACGUAAGUUCAUACGUGUAUCUGUUAAACUGACAUCUAAAGGUAGGGACAUGAGACGAGCGCUGAGCGCGAGCACAAGCGUUUCUGAGUUUUGCAAGAUACAACAACGUACGUCUACGUAUCUUGUUUAACGCUCACGCUUGCGCUCAAAUAUCAAAUUUGUUUGAUAUUUCUAAGCGCUGACGCUCAGCGCUCAGAAAUAUAUUUUUGUUUUUUUUGUCAAAUGUCAAAUGUAAUUUAAAAAUUUGAUAACGCUUGCGCUCGUCUUAUGCCCGUACCUUGUGAGUGACUUCUGCGGUAUCUCGAGUAAUUUCCAUUACAACUCUUUGCAUCAAUCGGAUUAAUUGAUAUUUACAAUGCGAAAUUAUUUUGAAACCCUACUUAUAAUCAGGGAAACACAAGACUGCUUACCUACCACAUCUGAACCAAGUCCAUUCAUCAAAUAUCAGUGCAUUUAUCUGUAAAAAUCAUACCAAUAGUUUUCAGGGAUGAAUUGAUAAUUGAAUCUUACUUGUCGAAUUGAAAAUUGUGCUGCUUUUUCUCAACUAAUCAAAAUUUAAGUAAAUCUUUUUAUAAUGAAAAAAUUAUUGUGAUUACGAAUUAGCGAAGUGCAAUACGAAUUUUUAAACCAAAAAUAUCUUCAUUUAGUAUUUCGGGACACAAGUCACGGAAUUUUGCUUCCGUUGAUAAUAGUUUAAAAAAGGUACCGAUUCCGGCGGCGGAUUUUAGAUUAAUCAAAGGAGGAAUUCUGAAUCAUUUUCUAAAAAUUAUCAAAAUUGUGAGAAAAUAAUUGCAUAUGUAAUGUACUACCUGUGCAACGUUGUGAAAUUUAUAGCUUCAGAAGGUAAAUACUACGAAAGAGAGGAAUGUAUAAGUAAAACUCGCCGACAAUUGUUGCAUAUAUUGCAACAUUUUUAAAAAGGGCAUUAGCUUUUCCCUAAGAUAGCUUCCUUGAAAUCCGCCUCUGUUAAAGCCAAACUCCAAGUGUAUUAUUUGCUAGUGUAAAUCUUGUUUCUGUAUCUCGUUUUAUUUUAUUCUGUUCUAUUUCGUUUAAACUAACAGCUUGUUUAUUUUUUAUUUUCAAUAUACAAUUUCCAUAAUA